rnacentral:misc_RNA from 1 species
AUCUGAAGCUAUUCCAUUCCUGAAAAAGAUGACGCAUGGUAGAGUUUUAAUUCCCAGCUUUGUAACAAAAAAAGGAGCAUUCUCAGCAUCCAACUUUAAGAACUUUGUAUCAACAUGUAUUGGCGCAAGAGAUUUCAAAUGCUUAUCCAUGAUCUUGCAUCGGUAGAACUCUCGAUGAUAGAAGUGACAAAUCACUUUCUCACUACCAGUAACUUCACCCAAGAAAUCUCCUUCCGUAAUCUCUCUAUAUUCUCCAUGCCCUUGCCUUUUUAAAGCUUGUCGCUUCUCUGCUUCUUUCUUGAGAGCGGCAA